GACGAACGCUGGCGGCGUGCUUAACACAUGCAAGUCGAACGGAAAGGCCCUGCUUUUGUGGGGUGCUCGAGUGGCGAACAGGUGAGUAACACGUGAGUAACCUGCCCUUGACUUUGGGAUAACUUCAGGAAACUGGGGCUAAUACCGGAUAGGAGCUCCUGCUGCAUGGUGGGGGUUGGAAAGUUUCGGCGGUUGGGGAUGGACUCGCGGCUUAUCAGCUUGUUGGUGGGGUAGUGGCUUACCAAGGCUUUGACGGGUAGCCGGCCUGAGAGGGUGACCGGCCACAUUGGGACUGAGAUACGGCGCAGACUCCUACGGGAGGCAGCAGUGGAGAAUAUUGCACAAUGGGCGGAAGCCUGAUGCAGCAACGCCGCGUGCGGGAUGACGGCCUUCGGGUUGUAAACCGCUUUCGCCUGUGACGAAGCGUGAGUGACGGUAAUGGGUAAAGAAGCACCGGCUAACUACGUG
rnacentral:rRNA from 1 species